rnacentral:rRNA from 1 species
GACGAACGCUGGCGGCGUGCCUAACACAUGCAAGUCGAGCGGAGAUUGCAGUAAUGUAAUCUUAGCGGCGGACGGGUGAGUAACGCGUGAGCAAUCUGCCCUUUACUGUGGGAUAACACAGGGAAACUUGUGCUAAUACCGCAUAAUAUCAUGAUAAGGCAUCUUAUUAUGAUCAAAGGAGAAAUCCGGUGAAGGAUGAGCUCGCGUCCGAUUAGCUAGUUGGUGGGGUAAAGGCCUACCAAGGCGACGAUCGGUAGCCGAACUGAGAGGUUGAUCGGCCACAUUGGGACUGAGACACGGCCCAGACUCCUACGGGAGGCAGCAGUGGGGAAUAUUGCGCAAUGGGGGAAACCCUGACGCAGCAACGCCGCGUGAAGGAUGAAGGUCUUCGGAUUGUAAACUUCUUUGAUUGGGGAAGAAGAAAGUGACUGUACCCAAAAAACAAGCCACGGCUAACUACGUGCCAGCCGCCGCGGUAA